UGUCUGUUGUGCGAUUAUUAUUCAUAUAAUGUUAGUAUUUGAUGUUGUCUGACUAUAUAUUCAGACAAUAGUUUUUCUACGACUGUUGUGCAACUCUCCUUCAGACAAUAAUCGUGUGCGUUUUUGUUGUCUAAGUUUUUAAACACUGCUGCCCUAAUUGAAUUUCUACACUCAGCCAAAAUUCAAUUUUUCAACUCCCUCCAUUUCGAUGAAUAACACGACUUCGUUUUAACACUUAGCCAAAAUUCACCAUACUUAUACUCAUCUCCAGUACUCUCUCUCAUUAAUCCCAAUUCUCUUCUCUCUCUUCUCUCACUCCUCUCUCUCUCUCUCUCUCUCUCUCAUUUAGACCAGAAGGAUUUCUUAGACACCAAAUGCCGCCGGCGACGGAGGAACCUUACACGAUGGCGUCCUCGAUGACGAUGAUGAUGAUCGACAAGAUUUAUGAGUUCUCGGCCCCGUGCUUCUUCGAUUUCAUCAAGGACGAGACCGACGACGACAAGAUCAAUGCCGAGCUCAGGUUCGACUCCGCCCCUUCCCGUCCCCGUCUCGUGUUAGCGCUACAAACAACGAAGAGGCUGCUGCCAAGGUAGCUGCAGCUAAUGCCGACAGUGGAGCUCCAACAAUGUAUCAUCCUUCACAUAUUAAAACUGGUUUGAUCUCACUUUCAAUAUCAGGGCAUAGUUUUCAGUCCAAAGUAUUCUAUUUAACUGUUAAGUUUUGAUCAAUUAAAACAUUGAAACUCGGUGAUGGUUCCAAUUUAAGGAAAGUAUCCAGAGAGAAAAAUGAUAAUAAUUUUUCUCUAGUUAACUUUAGAAGGACUACUUGCAGUAAUCUAAUUCAAUGAAUUUCAAUAUAUAAAUUAUGGGGUCAUGCAUCUAGAAAAGAUAAAGUACCUUGUCAAUAUCAUUGCUGCUUCUUUUUUCUUUUUCUGUUUAAACCCGUAUGUCAUUUACAUUUUCCUGACAGGAUGACUAAUAGGUAUCCUGCCAACAUAAACAAACAAAAAGACCUGAUCAAUCUUUUGGGAGCUACCUAUGCUAUUGUUCUUUUCCUUGCAGCUAGCAAUGCCUCUGCCGUGCAAUCUGUUGUGGCGGUUGAGCAGCAUGAAUGUACUCAGGGUUUCCUUAUGCAUUUUCUCAAGUGGCUGUUGAAUCCUCGGAACAAGGCAUUGUUAGAGAGUUGGAAAAAGUCUGGUUCCUACUCUAUCAGGUUCAAAUGAUGAAUGGUACUGGUUGUAUGUUGCUGCUAGUUCAUGUUUUCUCACAUGUUGUGUUUGUCCAAAUGAAAGAGAAGACAAAUGUGUCGCUGGAAGUUUUAGCACCCCAGGCAUGGAUCCCUUGGAUUUCUUUCAAGGACACGAGCUGCUUGUCAUAGAGGAAAAGUGAGCACACCAUGCAGUGAAGGCUUUCCCCAAAGAUGACCCAUCUAAGCCCUACAAGCUGACUGCUUCCCAUAUAUGGAACUAUUGUUACAUUUAUAUAAGUCCAAAUGUUGUUCAUCGUAGUUUUAUUGCUUUCUUUCGAUGCUAUUGCAUCGCCCAAUGUAAUCCUUAGUUUCAUUUAAUAAAGAUUGUUGUUCUUCCAUAAAAGAAAAUGUACAUCAUAAGAGUCACUUUCAGACCACUCU